rnacentral:misc_RNA from 1 species
AGAUGUGCAGCUCAGAUGGGGUGAUUAUGACUCUCAUGAUAUUGAGCGUUAUACCCGGGCCAAAUUUAUGGACUAUACAACGGAUAACAUGUCUAUAUAUCCAUCUCCAACUGGGGUGAUGAUUGGACUUGAUCUGGCAUACAAUUUGCAUUCUGCUUUUGGUAACUGGUUUCCUGGUUCAAAACCACUUCUAGCUCAGGCGAUGAACAAGAUAAUGAAGUCAAACCCAGCCUUAUAUGUCUUGAGAGAGCGGAUAAGGAAAGGUUUACAGUUGUAUUCUUCUGAGCCUACAGAACCUUAUUUGUCGUCCCAGAACUAUGGUGAGAUCUUCAGCAAUCAGAUAAUAUGGUUUGUUGAUGACACCAAUGUGUAUCGUGUCACCAUUCAUAAGACAUUUGAGGGUAACCUUACAACAAAACCCAUUAACGGUGCAAUAUUUAUAUUCAAUCCAAGAACUGGCCAGCUAUUUCUGAAGGUCAUCCACACUAGUGUAUGGGCAGGACAGAAGCGUCUUGGUCAACUUGCUAAGUGGAAAACUGCUGAAGAAGUUGCAGCUCUUGUGCGGUCUCUGCCUGUUGAAGAACAACCAAAACAAAUUAUUGUGACUCGUAAAGGGAUGCUUGAUCCAUUAGAGGUUCACUUGCUUGAUUUCCCAAAUAUAGUUAUUAAAGGAAGUGAGUUGCAGUUGCCAUUCCAGGCUUGCUUGAAGAUAGAGAAAUUUGGAGAUUUGAUUUUGAAAGCAACAGAGCCACAAAUGGUUUUAUUCAAUAUUUACGAUGAUUGGCUGAAGAGCAUCUCAUCAUACACUGCAUUUUCCCGACUCAUUUUGAUCCUUCGUGCACUUCAUGUGAAUAACGAGAAGGCGAAGAUGCUACUCAAACCUGACAAAACCAUCAUUACUGAGCCACACCACAUCUGGCCUUCUCUCAGUGAUGAUCAAUGGAUGAAGGUUGAGGUUGCUUUAAGAGAUCUCAUACUUUCUGACUAUGCCAAGAAAAACAAUGUGAACACAUCAGCACUGACACAAUCUGAGAUCCGUGAUAUUAUUCUUGGUGCUGAAAUCACUCCUCCUUCUCAACAAAGGCAACAGAUAGCAGAGAUUGAGAAACAGGCCAAAGAAGCAAGUCAGUUAACAGCAGUCACAACAAGGACAACAAAUGUGCAUGGUGAUGAACUCAUUGUCACCACCACUAGUCCUUAUGAGCAGGCUGCAUUUGGGUCCAAAACAGAUUGGCGUGUCAGAGCAAUAUCAGCUACAAAUCUGUACCUUCGGGUCAAUCACAUAUAUGUGAAUUCAGAAGAUAUCAAGGAAACGGGGUAUACCUAUAUCAUGCCCAAGAAUAUUUUGAAGAAAUUUAUCUGCAUAGCAGAUCUGCGUACUCAAAUUGCAGGGUACCUGUAUGGUAUUAGUCCCCCAGAUAACCCUCAGGUCAAGGAGAUUCGCUGUAUUGCCAUGGUACCUCAAUGGGGGACUCAUCAACAAGUUCAUCUCCCAUCAGCUCUUCCUGAGCAUGAUUUCCUCAAUGAUCUGGAGCCCCUGGGAUGGAUGCAUACCCAACCAAAUGAGCUUCCUCAGUUGUCACCACAGGAUCUUACAACUCAUGCUCGGAUUUUAGAGAACAACAAGCAAUGGGAUGGGGAGAAGUGCAUCAUCUUGACUUGCAGUUUUACUCCAGGAUCUUGCUCAUUAACUGCAUAUAAGCUUACCUCAAGUGGGUAUGAGUGGGGACGUGUCAACAAGGACACUGGAAGCAAUCCUCACGGUUACUUGCCAACUCAUUAUGAGAAGGUCCAGAUGCUACUGAGUGAUCGAUUCCUUGGUUUCUAUAUGAUUCCUGAUAAUGGCCCAUGGAACUACAACUUCAUGGGAGUGAAGCAUACAGUGAGCAUGAAAUACGGAAUCAAGCUGGGGACACCACGGGAGUAUUAUCAUGAGGAUCAUCGACCAACCCAUUACUUGGAAUUCAGCAACUUGGAGGAGGGUGAAACUGCAGAGGGAGACCGGGAGGAUACCUUCACUUGAAGUAGAACAUUAGUUGGAAGUACUUCCAAUGUCAAAACCCAAGUAUUAAUUUUUCUGCUUGGUGGAAAGAACUCUUUUUUUGUAGUAAUGCUUGUGUGCCAUAUAUCGAUAUUACUGUUGUAAAUCAGAAACGUUUUCUUAAUGAGCUGUAAAUGUGUAUUCUAGAAAUUGAAGUCUAUACAUAGCAACUAUAUUCGUCGUUAUUUUUAUUUCAUAAAAGAAGGUAUAGGCCGAUUCAAAUUCAAGACUUCGGAAGUUAAAAGCCUGCGGAGAGGUAUGUUGUUUGUACAAUAUAGCUCGGAUGAGUGGUUGAAAAUGUGAUUAGUUUCAGCCUCAGGCAUCACUGGGUAGAAGUUUAUUUGGGGGAACAUCAGCAAAAGACAUUGUUAAGAAGGUGCAGGUAUUAUGCUUGCAUCUCCAGAUGCUCG